rnacentral:rRNA from 1 species
GAUGAACGCUGGCGGCGUGCUUAACACAUGCAAGUCGAACGGGAAUUAUUUUAUUGACACUUCGGUCGAUUUAAUUUAAUUCUAGUGGCGGACGGGUGAGUAACGCGUGGGUAACCUGCCUUAUACAGGGGGAUAACAGUCAGAAAUGGCUGCUAAUACCGCAUAAGCGCACAGAGCUGCAUGGCUCAGUGUGAAAAACUCCGGUGGUAUAAGAUGGACCCGCGUUGGAUUAGCUGGUUGGUGGGGUAACGGCCCACCAAGGCGACGAUCCAUAGCCGGCCUGAGAGGGUGAACGGCCACAUUGGGACUGAGACACGGCCCAGACUCCUACGGGAGGCAGCAGUGGGGAAUAUUGCACAAUGGGGGAAACCCUGAUGCAGCGACGCCGCGUGAAGGAAGAAGUAUCUCGGUAUGUAAACUUCUAUCAGCAGGGAAGAUAGUGACGGUACCUGACGAAGAAGCCCCGGCUAACUACGUG